UGGGGAAUCUUGCACAAUGGGCGAAAGCCUGAUGCAGCGACGCCGCGUGGGGGAUGAAGCAUUUCGGUGUGUAAACCCCUUUCGACCCGGACGAAUGCCUCGCAAGAGGACUGACGGUACGGGUAUAAGAAGCCCCGGCUAACUACGUGCCAGCAGCCGCGGUAAGACGUAGGGGGNNNNCGUUGCUCGGAAUUACUGGGUGUAAAGGGUUCGUAGGCGGUGUAGCAAGUUGGGAGUGAAAUCUCUGGGCUCAACUCAGAGGCUGCUUCCAAAACUGCUGUGCUGGGGUGUGGGAGAGGCGCGUGGAAUUGCAGGUGUAGCGGUGAAAUGCGUAGAUAUCUGCAGGAACACCCGUGGCGAAAGCGGCGCGCUGGACCACUACUGACGCUAAGGAACGAAAGCUAGGGGAGCAAACAGGAUUAGAUACCCUGGUAGUCCUAGCCCUAAACGAUCAGGACUUGGGGUGCCACCCGUUCGGGUGUCGUCCCGGAGCUAACGCGUUAAGUCCUGCACCUGGGGAGUACGGUCGCAAGACUG
rnacentral:rRNA from 1 species